rnacentral:lncRNA from 1 species
UGUAGUGGAUUUUUUCUUGUCUUCUGGCAUGGCUUUGGGUUCGGUUGUCUCGAACUCUUUUCACUUUAUUAUCAUUUUUUUGGCUGCUAGCUUCUUGAUGGAGGUCCAACCAUCUAUCAACUUGUUCCAUUCAUUCUGUACCUUCAAGAGGCACCCAUUUGAGGAUUAGUGGCAUGUUUUCCCUCGAAAGGGGGUUCGUGCCCUAAUUCAAGGU